ensembl:lncRNA
UUUUUUCCCGGGUGCGACCUCAGAAGUAAAAAAACUGACGCACCAAAGGAACGACACUCAUUUUGUCUGUCUCUUUAUUUAUUCACAGUGUUUUCACAGAUACACAGUGCUUCACUGCCUGUGUGUCCUUUGUUGCCAGCCCAGAUAUCCCCUAGGUCUGAGGCCGGUAACAAUUGGGGGCUGCGUCCGGGAUUAGCACAUCUCGCCUGGGACGGUUGUCAUAGUAACGUGGGAAUCCUGCACCCAGUGUUUCAGGGAAGACUACUUCGCCAAGUGUCAUCCAGAGAACAACUGCCACAGUGUUUUCACAGAUACACAGUGCUUCACUGCCUGUGUGUCCUUUGUUGCCAGCCCAGAUAUCCCCUAGGUCUGAGGCCGGUAACAUGAGCAUAAGAGACAUUUUUUCAAAAAUAAUAAAAUAUUAUUCAGACCCCACUUUUAAAAACUGUCGUCAGUCUCAAAACGUUUCAUUUUGAAGCUGCUAUUGCAAUGUGUACUUUUUUUGGGAGCAUGUAAAAUUUAAGGCUAAAACUUUUUUUUAUUUUAUUUUUAUUUUUUAAUGUUAAAACACUCCAUCAGUGGUGAAAGUCUGGGGAAGAUGGUAUGUUUGGUGUUAUUAUUGGAUUCUUUUUUGGUCUUGCAAUUGCUACACACUUUACUUUUAAAUUGCUUUAAUUUAGACAUUAUAUAAAUAAUGUUGCAUUGUAGCACCAGCUCUCUGUCACAAUACAACCAAUGAAGGUUAUCUGAGGGUCAGAAUGUUCCUGCAAGUGAGGGUGUUAUAAGUGAGGGGAUAUUAGAGGGAAGGUGUUGACUUUAUGAUUUUAGCUUGAAGCUUGUUGUUUCCUGCAUUAAACAGAUUUUUUUUUUUUUUUUUUGUACAGCAGGUGUUUUAGUCUUUUUUAUCUCUUUUACACACACACAAACUUUUGUAUAAACAGUCACACACAAGCCUUUCCUGAGGGUCUGCUGACAGGAUGUUCUCCCUAGACCCAGCAACAAACUUUACGGGAAAAAACAUAGGCACACACACACACACACACACACACACAGAGAGAGAGAGGGAGAAACCAAAUAGACCAUAAGCAGCUAGGGAAGCCUGCACAAACGGACUCUUUUAACGUCAUCUGCUUGUUGUUUUAUUAUUUGAUUAUUGAUGCAUAUUGAUAUUGUUUCAUCCACAGUUUCACACCUGUUAGAUGCAUUUCUUUUGAUCUCACGAUGCCGCUGUAUGUGCUGUUUCACAAUGGAGCCUAUCUAUAUUUGAUAUUAUGUCUAGACAGUGUUAUCACACCUCCUCAUCUCAGCAGAAAGGAAGAGGUCUGAGGAGACUAUACUCAUUACUUUUGUGAACACGUGUGAGAGAGGAUUAAUAGAUGCUAUAAUGCAAGCAAGCAUUAGUUGUGUCUUUGCAUAAAUUAUCAUGAGUAUUCACAGCAAAACUACACAGGGCCUGGGACAACACUUUUAAGUGUUUAUCCUCACUGCCUUGGGGUUUCAGUGGGUUCACUGCAAAGAAAUCAUUUUCUUAAUCCAUUUUUUUUUUCUCCAGUAAAAUAUAUCUAAACAUACAUAAAACCAAUGAAUUAAAUUCAAAAGCAAAACUCUAUGGCUAAAUGUAUGUAUUUACAUUAAAAAAAGUUCUAAAAAAUGUAGGCCUACUUCAAUUCAAAGGUGUGGGGUUGACAGUUGUGUGUUUUAUUUUGUUUUGUCUUUUGUGCAAAGCUGAAUUUUCAGCAUCAUUACUCUAAUCUUCAGUGUCACAUGAUGUUUCAGAAAGCAUUCUAGGUUUUAUUUAUUUAUUUAUUUAUUUAUUUUUAGAAAAAAUACAGAAAAUGACUUUUGCAGUGCUUUACCAUAUAUGCCACCUUCAUCUCAGAGCCCAGGACAUUCUAUCAUAUGUGAUCAUGUUUUAUAUCCAGUCUGAUCAUCUCCAUUGCUGACAUGGUGUGGAGUUUUACUCAUUUAACAUCACAUUCCUCUUCUGAAGCCAAAUUUCCAAUGAAAUCUACACAGAGACAUGGAUGAAGAGGUUUGAGGUCAGGCAAGGCUGGAUGGAGAUUUUGAUGAGUGUUGGUACAUAUGUGUAUUUGAGAAGGACUGUGAUGUACUGCUCUCCCCAGCAGAGGGCAUUCUGGGCCAUAUGGUGACUUUGAGUGUGACAUAUGGACAGGGUGUACAUCUCAUUAACACACCAGAUUCAUUAUAGUUGGAUAUAUCACACAAAUUUUGGACUUCCAUCUUUUUCUUUUCAGUGUUUAUUUUUUUUUUAUUAUUAUUAUUAAUUUAUUUGUCAUUGCAAACCUGCAGCUACUAUUUCAAUGCUGUUCUGACCUGAAGUGAUGAAGUGAAAACUCUUAGCCUUUUGGCAGUAUGCCACUCUGUCUCAUUUGUCAUCUCUGUCUCUCUGUCUCUCUCUCUUUCUCAGUUGUUGUGUUCUGUUGUGUUGUACUGGACAGGCAGCUGCAGCAGAGCUGAUAAGAGCUCCUGACCUUGGCAGAUGGAGUGACUCCCAGAGAGAGCUAAUCAUAGAAAGUCCUUCUCCUGAGAGAGAGAAAGAGAGAGAGAGAGAGAGAGAGAGAGAGAGCAGGUGUACAUUGUAAUGUCAACCACAGUGUGGCAGCAUCUCAGUGUGUGUAGAUCUGUAUUACAUGUCCAACAUCAGUAUAAGGUGUAUCAGAGUAAAUCAAUUGCAUAAAUGUGUGUAUGUAUAACGUGAAAUCAUAUUUCAAAUAAAAACUAAAUAAUAUACACUACCAUUCAAAAGUUUGGAGUUAUAAAGAUAAAAAAAAAGCUAAUGAUGAUAAUAAUAGUAGUAGCAGUAGUAGUAGUAGUAAUUAAGACUUUUAUACAGCAAGGACACAUUAAAUUGUGUAAUUUAAUUUAAAUUAAAAGUGACUAUACUGACAUUAAAAGUGACUGUGACUGUACUGUAAAUUCAUUUUUAAUGUUACAAAAUAUUUCUUUUUCAAAUGUCAUUGUACUUUGUAUUCAUCAAAUAAUCUUCAAAAAAGUGUCAUGGUUUCUACAAACAAUAGGUAAAUCUUGGUCAUUAAUUCAGCAUAUUAGAAUGAUUUCUGAAGGAUCAUGUGACACUUGAACUAAAAAAAAAAUGACUCUUUGUUGUUGUCCUCUUGCAUUAUUGACAAACUAUUUUCCUGUUUAACACUGUAAAGCUGCUUUGACACAACCAGUAUUGUAUAAAGCACUAUAAAAAUAAAGGUAAUUAGAAUUGACUUGACUGAAGACUGAAGUAAUGAUGCAGAAAAUUAAGGUUUGACAUCACAGGAAUAAAUUACAUUUGAAAUAU